rnacentral:snRNA from 1 species
GUGCUCACUUCGGCAGCACAUAUACUAAAAUUGGAAUGAUACAGAGAAGAUUAGCAUGACCCCUGCACAAGGAUGACAUGCAAAUUCAUGAAGCAUUCCAUAUUUUU